rnacentral:rRNA from 1 species
CCUACGGGAGGCAGCAGUGAGGAAUAUUGGUCAAUGGGCGCGAGCCUGAACCAGCCAAGUAGCGUGAAGGAUGACUGCCCUACGGGUUGUAAACUUCUUUUAUAAAGGAAUAAAGUGAGGCACGUGUGUCUUUUUGCAUGUACUUUAUGAAUAAGGAUCGGCUAACCUCGUGCCAGCAGCCGCGGUAAUACGGAGGAUCCGAGCGUUAUCCGGAUUUAUUGGGUUUAAAGGGAGCGUAGGUGGGUUGUUAAGUUAGUUGUGAAAGUUUGCGGCUCAACCGUAGAAUUGCAAUGGAUACUGGCAGUCUUGAGUGCAGUUGAGGUAGGCGGAAUUCGUGGUGUAGCGGUGAAAUGCUUAGAUAUAACGAAGAACCCCAAUUGCGAAGGCAACUUACUAGACUGUAACUGACAUUGAUGCUCGAAAGUGUGGGUAUCAAACAGGAUUAGAUACCCGAGUAGUC